rnacentral:tRNA from 1 species
GCCCCGCUAGCUCAACGGAAGAGCGGCCGAGUCCUAAUCGGCAGGUUCCAGGUUCGAAUCCCGGGCGGGGCACCA